CUAGAACACUGUUAUUUGCAAUAUCUAGAAUUAAUGAGUAUAAUUUACCAAUUUUUCCCACAAAUUGUAAAUGUUAUUAAGUGGAUUUGUGUUCUGUGUACCCAUACUUAGACCAUAAGUGUCUCAGUUUUUUCCUCAUGAUCUUAGUUAUCUUUCCUGAACUUCCAUUUUUCCUUCAUGUCUCAAAUAGUCUAACACAGUACCCUCAUCUCCUUGGAGGAGGAGCCUACACAAGAGGGAGAACAAUGCCAAGCUGAUUUUGGACAUCUUGAGUUGAUGGUCCAGUUGUGCACAUUGAUGCCAUUUUUCACAAAAGCUUGUGUAAGCUUUGCACCUUGGAAAUUUCUAAACCCCUGACUUCAUGGUUCCUCUUCCCUAUGGAAACAUCUGUGUUGGUGCAUUUCAUGACUCACGUUUUCUUCAGCAGUGAUGAUCAAAAUGAAUAAAAAACAGAGAAGAAUUAAUAAAAUAUAAUUAACUGAAAUUAAG